rnacentral:lncRNA from 1 species
CUUCCAUCAUUUUUCUCUUUGCAUUUAAUCUUUUUUUUUUUAAUAUUAAAAAAAACGUUGUCGUAGUAGUACACAUCAGGGGUUACAUUGUAUAAUUUCCAGCAAAACUAACAGGGGAGGGACUACAUCAGAAAAACAAUCUUCAUUGAGUGGCAAUAACUCAUAUAUAUUGAAGCAUACAAUGACGGCUCCCUCGUCUAGGUGACAACAUUUGCUGUUUGAAGUUUAUUUAUAUCUCAGACUGGUAUAAUAGUUGUCAUAAAAGGGGAAAAAAUGAUAAAAAAGGUUGACAAC